rnacentral:rRNA from 1 species
UACGGGAGGCAGCAGUGGGGAAUAUUGCACAAUGGGCGCAAGCCUGAUGCAGCCAUGCCGCGUGUAUGAAGAAGGCCUUCGGGUUGUAAAGUACUUUCAGUCGUGAGGAAGGUGUUAAGGUUAAUAACCUUAGCAAUUGACGUUAGCGACAGAAGAAGCACCGGCUAACUCCGUGCCAGCAGCCGCGGUAAUACGGAGGGUGCGAGCGUUAAUCGGAAUUACUGGGCGUAAAGGGCACGCAGGCGGUUAAUUAAGUUGGAUGUGAAAUCCCCGGGCUUAACCUGGGAAUGGCAUUCAAGACUGGUUAGCUAGAGUCUUGUAGAGGGGGUUAGAAUUCCAUGUGUAGCGGUGAAAUGCGUAGAGAUGUGGAGGAAUACCGGUGGCGAAGGCGGCCCCUGGGACAAGACUGACGCUCAUGUGCGAAAGCGUGGGGAGCAAACAGGAUUAGAUACC